GAAGUUGUAGCUUAGUGGUAGAGCACUUGAGAACCAUGCAUGGGGCCCUGGGUUCAGUAAUCCCAGUGACUCA
rnacentral:tRNA from 1 species